rnacentral:lncRNA from 1 species
UGUGGUGCAGGAGGAGCUGAGAGUUCUACAUCCUCACCGGAAGGCAAACAGGAAAAGACUAGUUACCUGGCAGCUAGGAGGAGGGUCUUAAAACCCACCUCCACAGUGACACACUUACUCCAAGGCUACACCUCCAAAUAGUGCCACUCCCUGAGCCAAACAUAUUCAAGCCACUACAGCUCAUAUCCCAGUGUUGAUAGACCACGGGCAUCUGAGGUCAAAUAGAACCUGCUUCCAUUGUGUGCUGAACAGCAUGAGCUACGUGCUGAUCCUGACCCCGUUGUCUCCACCACAGGCCCAUCUCAGCUAUUGUUUGCUAAAGGAGACAGAUCUCCUAUGGGGUAAGUAGCAGCGAGGGGCAUCUAAGGUAAUUCCCACAGGCCUUAGUUCCUUGAACCUAUCCUAACGGCAGCAGUUACCAGUCAGCACUGUAGACAUCAACCUUGUUUAUGGUGCCUGAAAACCAAAGGUAAAAAUCCUGUUCUGUUCCCUUACAGGUGAAGACCCUGGGGUCCAGAGGUCAGAAGGAACUGUCCAACGUCAAACCAAACCAAACCCUUCAGGAGAAGAAAGAUCUGGUGGCCUAUUCUGCAUGCUGCUUCAGGCUGCCACUGUCCUGAUGGACUGUGACAUCCUUGAAGUGGGAGCUGGACUCAACUCACCUUGCUCCUCUUACUCACCUGAAUCCAGUGCAGGGCGAGGCACAGGGAGGCACCCUCCUCUCCAUUCUGACUUCUCUGCCGAGCCAGGUCUUCCCAGCUGCAUUCCUGUGGGUCAAAGCCAAGGAACAGCUCUCCUCUUACACUAGCAAAUCCUAUUAUGGAGUCUUUUUCUCAGCUAUAUAAUUUGUCUCCUUGAUAAGACAGAAUUAUGAACUCACAUUCUGUGAACUCAUAACAAGGCCUGCCACUGACAUUUGUAAGGCAUCUGUCUUAGUCAAGGUUUCUAUUUCUGCACAAACAUCAUGACCAAGAAGCAAGUUAGGGUGGAAAGGGUUUAGUCAGCUUACAUUUCCACAUUGCUGUUCAUCACCAAAGCAGUUGGAACUCAAGCAGGUCAGGAAGCAGGAGCUGAUGCAGAGGCCGUAGAGGAAUGUUUCUUACUGGCUUGCUUUCCCUGGCUUGCUCACCUUGCUCUCUUAUAGAACCCAAGACUACCAGUCCGGGGAUGGUACCACCCACAAGGGGCCCUAUCCCCUUGAUCACUAAUUGAGAAAAUGCCCCACAGCUGGAUCUCAUGGAGGCAUCUCCUCACCUGAAGCUCCUUUCUCUGUGAUAACUCCAGCUUGUGUCAAGUUGACACACAAAACCAGGCAGUACAGCAUCUAUGUGAAACAUGGUCUCAAGAAAGAAAGAAUCGGGGACAGAAUUAGAAGGAAAGAGACCUUAAGAAGAGGAAAGAAAUGAUAUUCCCUGAGUUACUACAAUUGCACAGCGCUCUGUAAGGCAAGGGGACCCCUUUGAGCACAGGGUCCCCAAGGCUCAGGCUGCAUUUCAUUCAAUCUAAAAGAGGGAAGAAAACAUUGUGAUUAACAGUGGAAUCACAAUGGCUGUCCGCAGCCAUCCUCUGAGCCUACCUAGGAAGGUUCUAGAAACCCCUGGAAGCAGAGUUCCCUGGGGACUCCUGGUCUUUACUCUGAUUAUUUCUCAUGGUCCCAUCCUUCUAGACGCUUCCGUCCUCAUCUGUUCCAGACAUCAAUGUAUUCUUGUCUGGGGAACGUGUGUCAUUUGGGGAAUAGACGGACCUGUAUAUAACUAAUAUUCUAUUUGUGGACUGUGGAUGCGUCACUUACAGUAUGAACAAUGUUUUGGGCUGUGU